CCCUGUCAAGGGCGUGUCUUGUGUCGGGUGUCAUAGAGACACUUCACACUGGAAAGCAGCACUGAAUAAUUUGUUAAUAAAAUCAUAUGUAGAUAAAUGUCUUUUCGGGAAAGUGUUUUUUUUUUAUCUAACUAGGUCUGGAUAACUAGGGUUGAGUUUAAACACAGUAUAAUACAGGGGCAGUUUUACUUUCUUUUUUAUUUUGCACAUACAGUAAGACGACGUUUUAUUUCAAGGCAGGACAAUGGCAUCAAACCGGCUGAAUGAUAUCUGGGAAAUGUUAAAAGCUCUAGCAGAAUAUCGACAUUUGAUUGUAAAGAAGAAUGACCUGGCGGCAGGGGCAGUCAUCGGAGCAGUCUGUACUGGUGUGGGAAGUUUUUUUGGCCCAGGUGGAUUGGCAGCAGGUGCUGCUGUAGGAGUUGUAACUGCAGCUUGGUGGACUGCAGAUGAAGAGAGACCUCUGACCCAAGUUCUCAGGGAUCUUCCAAGAGAACUGAAGGAUAAACUCUCCACUGGUGUCAGUGCACUGCUUGAAGGGUUGGUCUGGCCGACUCUGGCUGCCCUUCAGGAGAGAGUUAUGAGAAAUGAAAUCCUACUGAACAAAAUUCUAAGUUUCCUUCAACAUGUUUUUGAGCAACACCACAUGGGACACGUAGUACCAAGAUUACCCUAAACAAAAAAUACAAAUUCAAACUCUGUCUACUGCACCUGUUGUGUGUGUGUGUACAUGUGUGUGUGUGUGUGUGUACCUGU